AUAUAUAUAUAUAUAUAUAUAUAAUUGAGCUCCUAUGCUUUUAAAAGUAUCAAGUCAUUGGUGCUUGUAAGUUUUCGGCCCUUGGAUUAAGGAUGUGCAGUUAGGAUGAUAUGGGCCCCCUAGGGUUGAGUGGUUAGUUGGUUGCAUAGUAUAAUUUAACGGGUGAAAAUGAUCAAAGGCGUAGAUCUAACGGUAAAAACUUCACAAGCACCAAGUGCUUAGUGCUUUUACAAGCACCAUAACCGGACUCUCUCUCUCUCUCUCUCUUUCUCUCUCUCUCUCUCUCUCUAUAUAUAUAUAUAUAUCAUUGUGUAUGUAAAUUAUUUGUUGUUAAAUAAAUGGCCAAAAAUAAAAUAUCCAAAUUCAAUAUUUGGCCAUUAACGACGGAAAGAAUGGUCGUUGUUUUGUUAUCUCCUUCUACUUAUGAAAUGCUUUUAACGACGGGAAAUAUGGUCAUUAGUAAUAUUAACGAUGAAACAUUUAAUCGUUAUUAACACUAUGGAUAGAAUAAUUAUAAUUUUUGUAAUAUCUAUUACGAUGGUAUAACUGGACGUUAUUGAAAAAUAGAGUGGUUAGUAAUAUAGCUAAUUAAAUAACGACGGUAAAUAAUAUGGUCGUUAAUAGUAUAUAACGAUUAGCAAUUCAUUUUGGCCGUCACUAUUUUUAACGAAGGAAGUUUUUACGAUGGGUCACGACGGAUGGAAUUUCCGUCGUUACUGACCUUUAGCGACGGAAAUAUGGGUUAUUAACGACGGUAUUUUCUUUCGUUAAAUAAAGUAUUUCCUGCAGUAUAAAUUAUAAGAAAUGAAUGAAAUAGUGAUAGAAUCCCGACGAAGGGGAGCUAAAUAUAAUAAUUUGAAAUGUUGAGAGGAUAAAAUAUAAAUUUUUUAAAAUUAAGAUGAAAAAAUAAAAAAGUAAAUAUUUAUAAGAAAUUUUUUUUAUAAUUUAGCCAAAUUUUUAACCCAAAUUUUUAACUUAAUCAACUAUAC
rnacentral:lncRNA from 1 species